CAAUAGCGUAUAUUAAAGUUGUUGUGGUUAAAAAGCUCGUAGUUGAACCUUGGGCCUGGCCGUCCGGUCCGCCUCACCGCGUGUACUGGCUCGGCCGGGCCUUUCCCUCUGUGGAACCCCAUGCCCUUCACUGGGCGUGGCGGGGAAACAGGACUUUUACUGUGAAAAAAUUAGAGUGCUCCAGGCAGGCCUGUGCUCGAAUACAUUAGCAUGGAAUAAUAGAAUAGGACGUGUGGUUCUAUUUUGUUGGUUUCUAGGACCGCCGUAAUGAUUAAUAGGGACAGUCGGGGGCAUCAGUAUUCAAUUGUCAGAGGUGAAAUUCUUGGAUUUAUUGAAGACUAACUACUGCGAAAGCAUUUGCCAAGGAUGUUUUCAUUAA
rnacentral:rRNA from 1 species